rnacentral:lncRNA from 1 species
CUUAUGUAUUUGAUAAACGUAUUCAGCAUGCUGAUAGCACAAUAUGAUAAUAAUCAGCCCAUAGAGCGGUGUUUAGGUGGGAUAAAAUGAACAAUAAUUGAUUUGUUGAUAUUUUUUGAUAUCUAUUUCAUUACACAAGAAGUUUCAUGUAGGGCUCAUUCAUUAUUAAUUCUGACAUAAUCAUAUAAGCCAUUAUAGCAGAAAAAUGCCCAAUUUAACAGCUAUGGAAAUCCAUAAAACAGCUUGAAAUCCAAAUUCAAUGAUGUAUACCAAAACGUUGAAAACACAUGACAGAUUGAACCAAAGACAAAAUAAUUAAACGAUAUUUAAAUUAAUUCCUAUUUUAGCUUUGUGCGCUAGAACUAAAAAUAAAAAUAUCAACUUCGUUCAUACCGCAGAUAAUAUCUGUGUUCAUACGUUCAGUAUUUCUGCAGAGGCCAUGUUUGGAUUCUGACAUGUGUGACCUUAAGUAUUCGGCGGCGCUUAUUGCUCGCCGCCGCCGCCCACCACCCAUUAUCAAAAAAGGCCUUUCAUUUGACAUAUCUCACCCGUAUUAUGCAUAUUAUAGUAGGAUUUUGGAGUAUUAUAGCAUGCGUAGUAGGAUUUUGGAUUGAUUUUUUCUACGUGUCGGGAUCAUCGUGAUACAGUUUUCAUCAUUUUCAAGCGGUAUACCGGUAUAAAAGAAGGAAAACCAAGUUAUCUCCGAAAAUCCGCGGAGAAUAAAGUCAACCGAGAGCUAGUAGACUCCGUAACUACCAGAAAGACGAAACCCAGAGGACAAUUUAAGAUCCGUGCAAAUAAUCAUCCGCAUAAAACAACCAGUCUCCCGCAACCAAUCAGGCUUCGUUAUGCGUGGGCGGUUGGGAUCCAGUUGUGCUGCCAUCCAUGGGACGUCGAGGAGAUUUUAGGGUUGCAGUAAGCAAGGCGGGUUCAGCUGGACACAGUGUAAUGAACCAGCCUUGGUAGCUCUAAUUUCCUUUAAACAAAAUCGGGAUUUCUCUUGAAGUCAAUCGUGUCGAACUUCCACUACGGAACGCACCAAUCCGAUCGAGGAUUGGAUUUCUCCUAGACCCAACCGGGUCGAACGUCCACUACGGAACGUACCAAUCCGAUCAAGGAUUGGAUUUCUUCUAGACCCAACCGGGUCGAACGUCCACUACGGAACGCACCAAUCCGAUCAAGGAUUGGAUUUCUCCUAGACCCAACCGGGUCGAACGUUCACUACGGAACGCACCAAUCCGAUCGAGGAUUGGAUUUCUCCUAGACCCAACCGGGUCGAACGUCCACUACGGAACGCACCAAUUCGAUCAAGGAUUGGAUUUCUUCUAGACCCAACCGGGUCGAACGUCCACUACGGAACGCACCAAUCCGAUCAAGGAUUGGAUUUCUCCUAGACCCAACCGGGUCGAACGUUCACUACGGAACGCACCAAUCCGAUCAAGGAUUGGAUUUCUCCUAGACCCAACCGGGUCGAACGUCCACUACGGAACGCACCAAUCCGAUCGAGGAUUGGAUUUCUCCUAGACCCAACCGGGUCGAACGUCCACUACGGAACGCACCAAUCCGAUCAAGGAUUGGAUUUCUCCUAGACCCAACCGGGUCGAACGACCACUACGGAACGCACCAAUCCGAUCAAGGAUUGGAUUUCUCCUAGACCCAACCGGGUCGAACGUCCACUACGGAACGCACCAAUCCGAUCGAGGAUUGGAUUUCUCCUAGACCCAACCGGGUCGAACGUCCACUACGGAACGCACCAAUCCGAUCAAGGAUUGGAUUUCUCCUAGACCCAACCGGGUCGAACGUCCACUACGGAACGCACCAAUUCGAUCAAGGAUUGGAUUUCUUCUAGACCCAACCGGGUCGAACGUCCACUACGGAACGCACCAAUCCGAUCAAGGAUUGGAUUUCUCCUAGACCCAACCGGGUCGAACGUCCACUACGGAACGCACCAAUCCGAUCAAGGAUUGGAUUUCUCCUAGACCCAACCGGGUCGAACGUCCACUACGGAACGCACCAAUCCGAUCGAGGAUUGGAUUUCUCCUAGACCCAACCGGGUCGAACGUCCACUACGGAACGCACCAAUCCGAUCAAGGAUUGGAUUUCUUCUAGACCCAACCGGGUCGAACGUCCACUACGGAACGCACCAAUCCGAUCAAGGAUUGGAUUUCUCCUAGACCCAACCGGGUCGAACGUUCACUACGGAACGCACCAAUCCGAUCGAGGAUUGGAUUUCUCCUAGACCCAACCGGGUCAAACUUCCACUACGGAACGCACCAAUCCGAUUAAGGAUUGGAUUUCUCCUAGACCCAACCGGGUCGAACGUCCACUACGGAACGCACCAAUCCGAUCGAGGAAUGGAUUUUUCCUAGACCCAAGCGGGUCGAACGUCCACUAUGGAACGUGUACAUUCCUAUAAAUAAUUCGAUAACAAAUAGUCACACUGGUUUACCUUGCACAAUGGUCGAAAAAAAAAAAAAAACUUCGGCCAAAACUGUUUUUCGUCUCUAUUAAAAAAUGUUGAAUCUUAAUGUGCUGCUCAGUGUUAUAGAAGGGACUGUUCAUAUAUUGCAUAACUUUUUGAGUCGCAUACUUAUGUAUUCGAAAGUUUAUCAACAAAUGUAUGAAGAGUAGAUAAACGGUAUUUUUUUUUUAAUUUAUUACUAUUAUUUCUAUUAUCGAGACUUUCAGCCGGUGACUGGUUUGUCUACAUAUUUAUAUGAAUUUAUUUUGAAAUAUUUUGUCAGAAAAUAUGUACAAUACUAUUUUUCUCGAAGAGCAAUUUUCAGCGCAAAGGAAAAAGACAUUUUUAAUGCGAUCUAAAAAUGCAUUUAAGUAUGUACAAUUUAAAAUGAGAACAACAUAAGUUGUUUUUAAGUUGAAAUUUAUCAAAAUAUUACAAAAACUUCAAUUAAAUAUUUUUUAUUUAUCCUGAUGUGCCAUAAAAGUAUUAAACAAGCUUUCAGAUGGUGCUGGUGCAUAGCAUUAGGAAAUUAUUUUAAUCCUAAUAUCUUAAAAUUUCAAUUUAUUUCAAUGUCACAUCUUUUAUUUAUUUUUUAGCCAAUUCAACGACGAAAUUUAAAUUUUAGUAUGAUUUCUAUAGAGGAUCAUAAGAAUAUAAUUUAUAAUGUUAAAAACAAAUAAAAACUGAAACUUUCAAAUUCA